CAGCCCGGACCGUGGUGUGCACCCACCCGGGCCGGCAGCGCCCGGGACCCGCCGCCACUGCCGCUGUUCUUCUACCUGGCGCGGAGUGGAGUUUUGCAAAGUGCCGCUUUCUGUCUCUGUGGGUGUGAGAGCAAGAGCUAGAGAGCGAAUGUGUGAGUGCGAAAGCGAGAAAGCGAGUGUGAGUGUGUGCGCGCGUGUAUGUGUGUGUGUGCGUGUGUGCGCGCGCGAGUGUGUGAGUGCGGUUUGAUGUGUGUGACUGUGUGCGCGCGUGUGUGUGCGUGCGUCGUCCCUCCCCCGCCCGUCGUUGCCCGAGACCCGAGCAAGAGCCUAGGGCCCCAGGGCCGGGACAGUUCCAGCAGCAGCGCCACCAGCUCCAGCGCCGAGCACUCUCCCUCGGCCUGGGGUCAAGAUUCGGGCAAGACCCUAACGUCCCAGCAACCUGGCGGGAGCAGGAAACUGGGGUGGGGGAGUAGGGAAUAAGACGGGCAACUGGGGUCCCAGAUCUCUCACUCCCUGGAGCGCUUUCGGACAGCGCCUGGGGCCUGCGCCGGGGAAGGACUAAAGGAAGGAAGUCUUGCUCUGGGUCCAGGAGAAAGGACCAUCGGAGAGGAAGCCGAGCUUUAACAUCCCAACCCUGGCAAUGUACUAUCGUGGCAUUCUGCUUAGAUCCUCUUCUGCCAGCCUCAAAGCCCAGGGCUGCUCAAAGACGCAGCCUGGACCUUAACCAAAGGACCCCUUUUCAGCACAGUAACCUGGAAACAGAAGACAAAAAUGCCUGAAACAUAUAAUAGAAGAGAAAACUAAAUCCUAUUUAAUGAGGUUUAUUAUCCUCUGCUGUGGCCAUUAGCUUGUUUUGAACAUGACUCAGAGAUGGACUGCAGAUUCUUAAGUCAGCAGCUCUGACCACUAGUUCUCUUGACUCACAGGAACCAGAUAAAACAGGAACUUUUAGAGAUCAUCUAGUCCAGCCUAAAUCCGUGGAAAUGAAUUGAACGAGGAUUGUACAAGAACAAAUUGCCCAGGAUUAUACAAGAACAAAUUGACAGCGCCAAGAUUUGAUCCCAGGUCCCUGGAUUCCAAAUCCUGCACUUUUUUCUACUGAACUGUGUCUGAGAUGAAAAGGGAAAUCAGAUUAAAAAAUUAAAGGGAAUUUCAUGUGUAAAAGGACAAAUGACUGAGCUUGGAAGCUCUGCUUGCUUUUGUGGACAGUGUUUGGUCCUUAGCCAGGACUCCUCCAUAUGGGCCACAGAUCCUUAGGACCAGAAGCACUGGCCAGCUUGCCAAAUGCCCUGAUUGUGUGUGUGUGUGUGUGUGUGUGUGUGUACAUGCAUGUGUAGAAAUGUUUAAUAUUUAUGUGUGUAUUACAUACACAUGUGUAUGAGUAUGUACGUGUGUAUUUAUGUGUAUGUGGCCAAAGAGAAGUUAGAUCGAGACUGUGAAAGUCUUAACAGGCUUAUUAAGCUUUUCAUAAUGAUGUCAGGUCUCAAAGAUCUGUAGCCACAGCAGCUUAUUAAAAAAAAAAAAAAGCAGAGCAGAAUCUUUGGGGAAUAAAUUGUUUGAGGUUUUAAAAGAAGGAAUAAUGCAGUCCUCCACAACUCUGUACCACCUGCUUCAGCCCUGUUUCAAAGCCAGGUGGAAACCUGUCCAUAAACAACCCCAGCUGUAUUGCCCUGUGCACAGUCAGAGCUGAAAAAGAAUUUCCCACUGAAGCAUUCAACUUGAGAAAAAACCAUUGGAAAAAAUAUUUGUUUACCAGUAUAGCACCAGUAAGUAUGGCUGUUUAGACCACAUUACACACUGCUGUGCACAAUAGACAUCCAGUUAAUAUUUGUUGAGGGAAUGAGCAACCCCCAAACAAAUAACAGAACAGCAAAAGCAGCUCCUGGAAUGUGAUAGCUGAACACUCGGGGACCAUGUGAUCCAGCUCUCCCUGGCACCUUUCUUAGAAGUUCACAGCACACAGAGUCUUCAAUCUCUCUUUGUUCAAGCUUAAAAAAAAAAAAGUGUUUGUUUUGCUUAUAACCUAGAAUGGCUAAGUGACUUGCUUAAGGUCUUAAAGAAGCAAACUAAAGCAGUGGAGAAAGGAUCACAGACCUUGUCUUCAGAAGAUCUGGACUGAGAGUCCCAGCUUUAAUAUUCAUAUGUCUUUGGAUGAAUCUUUCACCUUAAUAAAACCUUGUUUCUUUAUUUGGAAAGUAAUUCUUAGAAAAAAUAUUUGAUUAAAUAUCACAAUCAAAGGAUCCGACUUGAUUUUUCUGCUUCCCUACUCUCCACUCUCUCAGCCCUCCUAAUCCCAGGGACUAAACUAAAUAAUAAGCUGGCAUUAGAAACAGCAAAACCUGAAAAGAUCCCAAUAUAGCCGGGCAACUGGUAACAAUCCACAAUAAUCUGGACACAGAUUCUGUGAGUUUUGCUUAUGACAUUAUAUUAAAACCCAAAACAAAUGAAAAGAGAUACAAAUGAUCUUUAUAGAUAAUGGAAGAUAAUAUUAGUAGCUAAAGUUUUGUGUAGUGGUUUAUGGUUGUAAAAAAAAUAUUUUCCCAAUAAAUCUCUAAAAAUAAU